rfam:Erinaceus europaeus unplaced genomic scaffold scaffold00505, whole genome shotgun sequence
AUACUCUAGUUUCUCCUCAGAUCACAUAAAUCUUUCGCCUUUUACUAAAGAUUUCCGUGCAGAGGGACAAUCUGAGCUGUUAUCCAAUUCUUUGAGGCCUUGUGUCUGCAAGGCU